rnacentral:lncRNA from 1 species
CCAAGAAGACAGAAGCCACCCAGCAUUGUGAGCACGUCUGCUUGUGUGCAAACCCGCAGGCAUUUUUAGCAACUUUGGGGAACAUAAAGAAAGCUGUUGGUUUUGUUUGCACAUAUUUUUUGCCUCUGCAGAAGGCUUCUCACCAAGCGGCAGCCUCAGAGUUGCCUUCUAUUUGAUCUUAAGACACACAGAGUCAUUACAGCUCACUAGCUGAGCUACAGUUGGCAAACUGCUUAACCUGCUCUUACUUCUGUUGUUGGGAAAACGAAUCUGAUGAUAAAAGUCUCUGCCUCUCAGAGUGGCUGUGGGAAUUAAAUUCAGAAAUGCCAGCCUGCCUGUGAGGCUUUGAGACUGGAAGGAGGCAGCUUGGGGAGGAGAAGGCCUUGUUAGAAUCUGAAGGAGCUGGGAUUCCAGUCCAUCAGCUGCAGAACCUUUGGCAGCCCUGUGCCCAUCCUGCUGUGAUUCAGGAGUCUCGCAGAAGACAUCAGAAUGCCUUUCUCUGAGUCACAGUCUGUAUCUUCUAGAAAAGGCUGUCCAUCUUCACCCCAAGCCCACUGGCUCCUGAGAUACGACAUCCAGACCCAGUGCAGCUGGACCUGGCCCAGGAAGAUCAUGCGGUUUCUGGGAAGCACUGGAGAAGGAAAAGGCUGAAGAAAGGAAGACCGGAAAAGAAAUACAAGUCCUUCCGCCUUGGCAAAGAUGAUAGUACCGUUCCCUUCAGUGUUCCGGUUCUGCUCUAUUGGAUAAGUUCCGGUUUGACUAUGACUACGUGAAAAUGUGGAACCAGACCUUCACCCCACAUUCCAGCUCCAGCUCUACCACAGAGGAAGUGCAAUAUCACCUUAGUUAUUCAACACAUUAUGCUCCUCGUGAUACAACCAGAGUUCACAUCAGCAAUCUUGGCAGCUCUCACCACGCUGCUGACUCACGACUCUCUCAUGUCCCAAUUUCCUGUCCAUUGUUCUUUCCUCUACUUGGCCUGAUUUCUAAAGGCCUCUCUUGGUUGCAUUAAGCGGGAUUCCUGAGGGAUUCCCUUGGCAGUUACCUUGGGGGAGCUCUUAGGUUUGGGGCUGAUCCAUGUCCUCUAAAUGUAGGACUUCAAAGCUCCCAAAGAUAGGCAGGCCCAGUGGGAAGCUGGGAAAUGCUCUCUGACCCCUCUGGGAGGGCUGGCAGUCAGAGGGCCUUUUGGAAAGAGUCAGACCUGAUCCAUAAGUCCCUGGAAAACACCCUGCCCAGGGAGCAAAUGCCACUGUGGCCUUGACUGAGGCUUCAGAAGAGUUUGGGAGCUGCAAUUCAUCCACACACGCAUUCAUUUUCAAGUAGUGGUUUGCAGUUCAGGCUUUGGAGCCACAUAAGCCUGGCUUCAAAGCCACUUUCCAGCUUUGUAGGAAGUCUCUACAUUUUUAAACCUCCAUUUUUUUUUCCUGUAAAACUGGGGUCUUCAUGGUACUUAACUUCAUCGUGAUGUUGAGAGAAUGAAAAGAAAAAGGAUAAAUAAAUGGCUUAGCCUCGUGCCUUGGCA